CCAAGGGGACGUGGAAGUCUCCUGUCCAGGUCGGCAGCUCGCUGGGUUCGAGUCCCGAGCUGUAGGGCCAGGAGGCUGGGAUCCAACCAGGGAGCAGGUGAGUGGUCUUUACACACUAGUGCUCCCCGCCCCCCCAACUGGGGAUCGGGGAUCCUGCUAUGCUCCCACUCCCCACCCCAGACUAGGGUCAGUUUGCAAAGUUGUAUCCAUUGAUACAAGACUGUAGAAGAGUCCCGACCGUAAACGAGCGUGGCCAGGAAUGUUAGAGUCUGCAACAUAAGUCUGCCACGGUUCAGCCGGGCAAGGAAGUGUUUGCACGGAACGCUAACAGAGCUCCUGUUGAGAAACACUGUGAGGUGUUCAGGGUCAAAAAGUAAGCGAGCCACAUGCAGUCAUCAAGUCCAAAGGGCAAGGGGAUGAGGAGAAAGGGCGGACAAAGCCAUGGAGGGGCUAGCCGGGCAGCUCCGCGGCUGGAGCCGCCGUCGGAAGGAAAGGGAGCGAGUGUGGCGGCUGUGCCCCCUGCUUGCUCUGCUCAGCCUCAGCUCCAUGAGCCCCGGAGAGGCAGGGCGACUUUAAAAGUUCAGGACAAAACGAAGAAUUGGGGUGGAUGUCAUGGGAGCCCGGAAGAAAGAAACUAUGUGGCCUUAGAGUCACUGUUCAUUUAUUUCUCCCAACAAACAAGCAGUGAGCAAUUUCUGGAGCUGUAGCGAGCGCUAAGAAAACCCAAACACAAGAGGACUGGACUCCAGGCAAUGCUAAGAAGGAACAUCUCUAUAUAUCUAUUAUAUUUAUUACCCUCUCAUCUUCCAAAGAUGGCCAUGAGUAGAUUUGGGGCAAAGACAAGGAAGAAACACAGAGAAGGGAAAUGGAACAGGAUUGAGAGGAAGAGGAGGAGGAAGGAACAUUAACGAAGAACUUGGCCAAUUUGUACAAACUCUUUUUGUCUUAACAGAGCUACGAGGCAAGCUGGCUUCCGUAUCUUUGAAGUCCAUGAAUACAAAAGUUAGUCCGCUGGCUUUACCGGUUGAGAACUCCACUUCUUCAUGAUGGCCUUUGUACCUUCCCAAAGCUGUGCACCCAGUGACCUUGGAGGUCGUGUUUUGAAACUGACAGCGUCACAAGCAGGAAGAAUCCUUGAUUGCUGAGUCAUGGAGUCAGCCAGGAGAGCUGUCCAACAAUGAACACCUGCAUCAGAUUUUCGUGAUUAAGAAAUAAAUUUUUAUUACCUUAUGCAAUUGAAAUUUAGGGUUAUUUGUUACAGCAGUUAAUCCACCCUGGCAUAGGGAAAAUAACAUCUCGUACAGGAAGGUACAGUAAUAUGGGUGUGUUGGCUGGAAAAAGUCCUCUUUGGAUUUCUUCCUGGAAUAAAGAAACAACACCGUCUUGCCGGCCAUAGUUUCUUCGUGUCAUUUUGCAAUGUGUAAAUUACUCUGAAUUCCAAUUUCUCGUACCCCAGGUCUUGGUUACAUGAGAGCACGAUUGCCAUAGGUAGCUAAUAUAAAUGGCUUUUAGCCACAUGAGAACAAUUUUAAUAAAGUAAAAGAGAAAUAUGUGUUUAGGGGGUAGAGAUAUCCAUUCAUUCAUUCAACAAAUAUUUGUUUAUUGAAUUUCUUUAAUGUAUUUUAAAAUGUACCUGAGAUUUGUUUUGAUCAGGUCUGGUAAGAUAAAAGACACAGAGAUAACUGUUUUUUGGAAAAAGCUGUUUUUUACAAUUCACAAGAAGAUGAGACACAUCAAGCCAUGCAGAGCCACCUGGAGAAGCACCAGGGUUGGUCAGGAGGUGGGAGGGAGGGGAAAGCAUGAGCAACAGCGUUUAUUUUGGUUUUCUCCGGAAGAAAUGGGCAAGGCAAGGUAAGCACCUAAGCGGGUUUAGGAUUAAAUAGUUUGAAUAAUUUUGACAUGCUAUAGGGCUGGUCUCUAGUUGUCUAAUGAUUGGCUUUGGGGUAACUAAGGGCACAGGAUGGAGUCCCUGACCAGACUGCCUGAUAAAAGGAAGUGGAUGAGAGUAUGGACUCCCGGUGGGUUGGUUGGCAUAUGAGAGCCGUGCUUCCAGGCAAAUUGUUUAGUAUCUCUAGGAAUUAGUGAAUCCUGGGAGGAGUCGUUCCUCCUUGGUUGGUCCAUAAGGUCCCUGGAUGUCAAAGCAUCACAAAAUAUAGGAAAUAAAAAAAUGAUUAAUACAUAAGGUACCAGAUAUAUUUUAAAACAUAAGGCACCAGGGUCUAUGUAAGUAAAAUUAACUAAAUAAUUACAAAGACACAGACUUACUAACCUUUAACAGACAUGAUUAUUGUCUCCUUCCACCACGGAAGUCAUUUUGACCACUGAAUAUUUUUAUCAAAAUUAUUCACUUAAAUAUAUACAUCAAGUUGUUCAAGAUUAGAAUAAAGUCAUGGGUAUUUCAAAUAACUAAAAGGAGGUCCUUGAAGAAUUGUCUAAGUACUUCAGGGUUUAAAUUAGACUAUAUUGAAACAUGAACCUGGAAAGUAUACAGAGUUUACAUUAGUUCUGGAAGGUAAAUGCAAUUCCCUCUUAAAUACCUUAAGUUCCCCCUCUGAGCCCACCCCAAGCAUAUUGUUCUAGAAUAUAGUCCCAUGCCUAGAACUUACCAGGGGUUCCCCAUUGCUUAUUGCCAACAUUUUCAAACUUCAGUCACGUAUAGACCACCUUCUCAACUUAUGCUAUAUUUGUAUAAUACCUUUUUUUUUUGUAUUUUCUUAAUUUUUUUUCUACAGAUCAACUCACCAUGCUACUAUCUAUGUAAGCCUCCUCUUAAGCAGUUUUUUUUUUUAAUCUGUAUAGUUUUGGAUUUAAAGUGCUCAUGACGUAUUACUUCUGUGUGGUGCACAAUAAACAUAUGGCUACUAAAAA